rnacentral:rRNA from 1 species
GACGAACCGUGCAAACGUUAUUCGGAAUCACUGGGCAUAAAGGGCGCGUAGGCGGCUCCAAAAGUCAGGGGUGAAAUCCCGCGGCUCAACCGUGGAAGUGCCUCUGAUACUGUAAGUCUCGAGGGAGGUAGGGGCGUGCGGAACUUCCGGUGGAGCGGUGAAAUGCGCAGAUAUCAGGAGGAACACCAAUGGCGAAGGCAGCUCGCUGGGACGGUACUGACGCUGAGGCGCGAAAGCGUGGGGAGCAAACAGG